CCUCAUCUGCCAUGUUGACUCUUUCUACUGUCUCACUUUCCCUUCUCUCAGUCUCCUCAGUCUUGGAAACUGUUUAGCUGUGAUCAGCAGCUAUGGACCAUGCAUUUGCAGGUGAAAGAGGGCAUCGUGGAGUUGGGGCCUUCCUCUUUUUUUUCAUAGAGUGAUGCGCAAAGAUGUCCCUGAUGGUGGUCAAAUG